rnacentral:rRNA from 1 species
AUUGAACGCUGGCGGCAUGCCUUACACAUGCAAGUCGAACGGCAGCGGACCUUCGGGUGCCGGCGAGUGGCGAACGGGUGAGUAAAGUAUCGGAACGUACCUUUCAGUGGGGGAUAACUGUCCGAAAGGACAGCUAAUACCGCAUAUUCUGUGAGCAGGAAAGCAGGGGAUCGCAAGACCUUGCGCUGAUUGAGCGGCCGAUAUCAGAUUAGCUAGUUGGUGAGGUAAAGGCUCACCAAGGCGACGAUCUGUAGCGGGUCUGAGAGGAUGAUCCGCCACACUGGAACUGAGACACGGUCCAGACUCCUACGGGAGGCAGCAGUGGGGAAUAUUGCACAAUGGGCGAAAGCCUGAUGCAGCAAUGCCGCGUGUGUGAAGAAGGCCUGCGGGUUGUAAAGCACUUUCAGUAGGGAGGAAACAGUAGCCGGUUAAUAUCCGGUUGCCUUGACGUUACCUACAGAAGAAG